GACGAACGCUGGCGGCGUGCCUAAUACAUGCAAGUCGAACGGUUUAGUUCCUCGAGUCUUGCCUUUUGGAACUAGACAGUGGCGGAUGGGUGAGUAACACCUAGGCAACCUACCUGUCAAACCGGGAUAACCCUGGGAAACCGAAGCUAUACCCGGAUAAGCUCCUUUUUCGCAUGUAGGGGGUGUGAAAAGGUGCGACUUGAUGACAGAUGGGCCUGCGGCUCAUUAGCUAGUGGGUAGGUUAACGGCCUACCUAGGCGAUGAUGAGUAGCCGAGAUGAGAGUGCGUACGGCGAGACUGUGACUGAGAAGCGGCCCAGACGGCUACGGGAGGGAGCAGUAGGGAAUGUUCGGCGAUGGGCUAAAGCCGGACCGGGGAACGCCGCGUGAGUGAGGAAGGCGUUCGGGUUGUAAAACUCUGUGGUUUGGGAAGAAGGGAAAGGGUAGGAACCUUAGGUGACGGUAACAAACGAGAAAGCCCCGGCUAACUACGUG
rnacentral:rRNA from 1 species